rnacentral:ncRNA from 1 species
AAUUAGUAUCAAGAGCAGAGUUAAGUCUCUCUCCAACCUGCCAACUCCGGUAAGGUGGAAAAAUUGAUGCGGCAUUCUGCAAUACAAGGAGAAAGA